GGUGCGACGACGGGAACGGUGUGGUGUCGAUCGAUCCGCGCGAUCGCGAUCGGCGAUUACGUUUCUCGGCGCGCUCGUGAUCCGCGCAUUCUCGCGAUCGCUCGGCGUCCGCCGCCAUGACAAGUGGAAGUACCUACAUUUUGGAUUUUCACGCCGGUGAGAAAAUGUCGCGCGUCGGGAACGCCGGAUCGGAGGUGGACGAUCAUUUCGGUGUUAAUUGAACGCGAAUUUCGACGCGAUUGUCGUUCGUCGAGGAGAAUUCGUAUGGAACGAUACCGUCGACGAGUACGGGAGUCGCCGCUCUUCGCCGACGAUACUCUGCUCGAUACGGGUUAACGUAUACGUACGUUUGAUGAUGGCAACGUCUUCAAGUAACGUAAAUCUGACGUAAUUGUGAGACCCUGGGUGAAUCCUCCUUUUCCAGGAAACGUAAUAUGUUUCUCAAGGCUGUAAAACAACAUCUAUACGCAUCUUAUACAGCUGUGGUUGUGCGGUACUUGACGAGGCGAUACAUCGGCGAGUACAGCUCG